UGCAGAAGUAGUUGUGAUUUUACUUUAGGAUUACUUAAAUUCUAAAAUUAGAAAGGAUACUGAAGUGGGGAGAGGGGGAUCCUUAAUAGAAAACAAGGUUUCAGAAAAGCAGGGCUAAGUAAUUGUCAUUAAAAGGGUAUAUCUUCCAAAGUGCAAAGUUAGGUUACAUGAGAUCAGGUUGAUCUUUGACCCGACAGUCUCAAAGCUCAUAGGACUGCAGCAAGUGAUAAUUGCUUCCUCAUUUAGAUUAGACAAUGAGUUCUCUCUGCAAGCUACUCUCCUCUAAAAAGACUGUAGAGAGUAAUUGAAACAAGUUAUACGGGGAAGUGGAGUGACCGAUUCCUCAAAGUGUGAGAGCAGAGCUAUGGUAACCUCUUAAGCCUGGCCUUCAUCCUGUUCCUAUUUAGGGAAUCCGCAGGGCAGCCAGUGUUGAGUGCAGUCUGCAGAUCGCCAGCUUUAUUGUUUAGACUUGAAGGGAAGGUCACAUGCCCUCUUUGACAGAGAGGUUUAUGGGCUCUCUCUAAUUAGCAGCACCCUCCACCAGACAGACUGUUGGCCACCGUCCAAGAACGGGGGUUUAGUGGCGGCCACUGAUGAAGGAGAAAACAAGGUUAUUUACCCUGUGACUGUAAUUCUUGGCACUGGUUCUCUUUGCACUUAGACACGUUUUCCUUUUGUUCCAACUUGCCUUUGGAAUUCUGAGUAGGGCGUUAAGGAAGGGAAAUGCAGCUAUAUAUUUAGUGCUGUAAGCAACCCAUAUGUUAGCCUCAGAUACUUUUCUCUAUUCUAAGGUCGCAUACAAAAAGGAAAAGAAAAGGGCAACGUAGUUAUAGAGUUGCUUGCGAAUAUAAGUGCUUAGGCACAUGCCCACACACACAAGCUCAGAAAAGGAAGUUAAAUUUGCAACAUCUAUAACGACAGUUGUACGUUAGGACAGAAAUCCCAGCGGUAGAACGUGAUUCGGUCUAGCUAUUACUGGAGUGUUAAAACCCAGAAUAUAUUUGGCUAGUACUGUUCUGUCGAUUCUGCGGUAAGGCGGAUUAAGCCUAUAGAAAUGCUUUCUGGUUGAUUUAAACCAGACGCUCCGACUAUUUUUUGUCCUGUUUGCAGGCGCAGCACUGCUGCAUAAGGCAAUGCUGCCCCCCUCGACCGACCGCCUAUACAGCCUCUUCUCCACCAGCUACCUCGUCCAUAAAAACCUUUCAAGUCCCCAUUAUUACUCCAGGCACAUUCCAAGGGGAUUGAGUCACAGGGUUCACUGGGCUUUUCUCCCGCCCAGAACUGCUCGUACCAGGUGGAAUACGACCCCCAACUUCAAACAUGGAAUCCAUACCCUGUCAAAAAGCGCUUUAGGGCCAGCCUCAGAUGCAAUCCCUACAGCAACUCUGUCCACCAACCGAUUUGGGGUUUGCUGGCUGCACAGCUGGAAUCCCACAUCAUCAGCACGAGGGUCGUCUAUUCAAACUAUGAGGCUUAUCUUUGAGGAACUCUGUAAAGCUGUCCUAUUUCCAAAGCUCCAAGGUCAGCUUGCUCAGCAUCAGAGCACAGGCUGAGCUGGAAGCUUAUUCCAUCAGGCGCUGCGUGCGGGAGACUAGGAGGCCCAAGCCGGGAACCCAGGGGACUUGACGUUCUGCUGGCUUUUAAUGUUGCUGGAGAUGGAACCCAGGGCCUCACACAUGCUAGGGCACCUCUGGAAUGAACUGCUUCAGGGGAAAAGAAGAUGAGGUGAAUAAACUGAGGUCCAAGGAGAUUAAAUACAUUGCCCAAGACUACAGAGGCUGUGCUGGAGAUCAAACUCAGGACAUUGAGCAAUCUGACAAGUGCUAUACCGUGGAACCACAUCCCCAACCUUGAUAAUAUCUAUUAAUACACAAAACUUUAAAUUUUGAUGAAGCCCAUUUUGUUGUUGUUGUUGCUUGUGCAAGGUUUAAUGUAUUUUGAGCGUCCAGUGGGAAGGUGAGUCUCUGAGAACUGUAAGGUGUCAGAGGUCAAUGACAGAGGUGACUCUGCUUCUACUGCCCUGACCCCCAGCCAUGUAUACGUGGAGUUCUGCUCACUAUAAAGAGGACCUCUUACCUGCUCACUGGAAGGAGGUUGCUCAAACCUAACAGAAGAUGGACAUGUCAUUCUUGGAACAAUAACUCAGUGACUCUGCUGACACUGGCUCAUGUACCUCAAAAGUGACAAGGACUGAGUCAGAAAUAUCCAAGUGUAGAUUUGGUUAAGUGUAAGACAGAGCUGGGGAGGCAACUGCAGCACUGUGUCUAACUGGCCAAACAUGGGGCUCAGAUGGCCCACAUUUAAAUCCUGACUUUGCUAUUUACUAGCUAUAGGACCUCAGUCAGAUAAAUUAUUCAAUUCUUUCUGUUUCAGUUUUCCCAUAGGUAACAUGGAGGUAGGGUUGUUAAAGCCUUUUGUGAUUUAAUACACACAAAGUGCUUGAAAUAGUGCUUGGCAUAUUGUAAGCACUCAACAAAUGUUCUCUAGCACAUUAAUGGAUUCAAAUAUGCAAAGCACUUUGAGAAGUCCCUGCUGCAGCCAGUAUUAUUCCCAGCACAUGACAUUCAAAUGCAAAGUUCUAAAAGAGUUUUAAAGAAACAGAGUGCAGACCAAACAACAUAUUUCUAUGGGCCAAAUUCAGUUCCAGGAUUGCCAGUUUGCAACGCCUGAACUGAAACUAGAGAACUUUGUUCAGACUCCCAGUCAGAUCUUACUUCUGACUGUGCUUCCUUGGGCUUUAUUGGGACCAUGGUCCUUGAUCCCACCUUCUGUCCCCUCCCAGCAUCUCCACCUGACAACUCUUGAAAAUUGAGGUUCUGGGAAUCAAGCUGGCUUUUCUCCUUAUCAAUUUUGCAUUUUUUUUUUAACCCAUGCUGUAUACUGAAGGUAUUACCAGGAUCACUUUUUCAUAACAAUAACUUAAUGAAAGAACACAUUGUUUUAUCAUUGGUCAAAUUGACAUGAGAGCUUUUUGUAAAAGUAUGUUUGUAUCAUUUGUUUAUUCAAAGUACAUAUAUCAUGAUAAGCAAUAUGAAUAUAAAAAUGAAGAGACAGGAUUCCUACUGAUCCAGAGCAAUAUCUAUACUCCAAAGGCACGCCCCCAACAGCCUGCCUGCGUCUUCCAGCCACACCCAACCUGCCUACAGUUACCACCCAGCUAAUUCCCAUGGUGGAUUAAUGCAUUGAUCAGUUUAAGGCUCUCAUAACCCAAUCACCUCUAAUCUUUCUUGCAUUAUCUCAUUCAUGAGCUUUUGGGGGAGAGUAGUAGGUAAUUUCAUAAGAUUUCUUUUUUUAUUAUCCAUUGUGAUACUAAACAUGUGAUGCUUAUAUUCUUAUAAAGCAAAUACAACUAUGAUUUAUUUACAUUUUUAUGUAGCUUUUUUAUAUAUUGGUCGUAUUUCAUAUUCAAUCACAUUUGAGACAGUUAGAAAAAUGAAAAUAGUUUUAGAGUUUUCAUACUGACUAUAAAAAUGAUAAAUGCUCAUUGUAAACAAUUCGAGAAAUAUCGAGAAAUAUAAAGAAGAAAGAAAAAUUGCUCCAAGUUUUGUCACACAGAGAUAAAUACUGUUAGCAUUUUGAUGAAUAUCCUUUUGGAUGUUUCUCCAUGCGUAUAUAUUAUCAUCUAUCUGAAAAAAAAAAAAGAACGAAUGCUGCAUUUUUCUCCUUGGCUUUGGGGUCCUUUGAAAUAUUCAUUUAGCCUAUUAAAAAUUUUCCAUAUUGACCUAUUGAAACAAUGAACUUUGUCUACUUAUUUACCCAUUUGUAUAUUUUUCUCUGUAUAAGCUGCUAUUGGAUUUAUUUGUCAGUCUAGCUUCUAAUUCCUCAUUUUCUGCUUUUUUUUUUUCUUUUCCACAUUAAGCCUUUUUCAUUUUCCUUAGGGUUUUGCUGUUCUUUUCCUAACUUCUUGGCUACAUUCUUAGUCAUACGUUAUGGCAAUAGGGCCCUGUUUUCUGACUCUCCUUUUACAACCCGACCUGCAGCAGCUCAGGAGUUCAGGCUAAAUAAACCUCUUUGUGUUUUGUUAACUUUUAACUUGGAGUGCAGAGACCAUGGGGGAGGCUGACCUUCUCACAGGGCGGUCUGUAACAGAUGGCCUUGCUGUUUACUUUUGUUUUGGAAGCUAGAGGCAAAUAACCAUAGCAUCUGGGAUGGGAUCAGUUAAAUUUAAGGAUGGAAGAAAAGAGUUUUGAGUGUUUGCUAGAAGAAGAUGUAACAGUCCACUCUAAAUGUCACCACUGAAGGACAUGUUACCCUCUUCAUAGACUCAGCAUUUUGCUUAGCAUUUUGUGUGGAUUGUGGACUAAGGGGCCUGACAUUCUUAACAGAUUUCUCUGACCCAGUAAAACAGGAAGUUUCUGGAAAUCAUAUUUCCCCUGUUGAUUUAUUUGGUGUGGCCAGUCUGCUUAGCUGUAGGUCCCCUACAUCUCCAGCAUAAAAUCUGCCCUUCUGUCAGAUAGAAUUUGUGCUUGGCUUUUCAGGAGCUCUGACCUAGGUCAAGUCUCCACCUCUUUGAGCCUCUGUCUCCUCUUCUAGAAUACAAAACUAGUGUAAAAAUUAAGUUGCCUAAUUCAUGAAACACUGGGGCAAUUUUCAAAAUAUUGAAUGAGGUUGUUGGCCAAUCAGAACAGGAACAGAUCAUAAUACUGGAGAGAAGUCCUAGAAGCCCCCUUCUGUGCUUUUAGUUCCUGGGGCAGUGGACAUGGCAGAGUGGGGUGAGUGGUUGUAGGAGACUGGAUGAUCAGUGUUACCGCUGUUUAUUGGUGAGGAGUCCUUGCUUCCCCGAAUGCUGACGUAUAACACCAGAGAAGCACGCCCAGGCAAGUGUAGAGUGGAAAGUGGAAGGCUUUAUUAAAGGACAG